GUGUCAGCCGCCGCGGUAAAACGUAGGACGCAAGCGUUAUCCGGAGUUACUGGGCGUAAAGGGCAGGCAGGCGGACUGCUAAGUUGGGUGUGAAAUCUCCCAGGCUUAACCGGGAGGGCGCAUCUGAGACUGGCAGACUGGAGGGCAGCAGAGGAGCGUGGAAUUCCGGGUGGAGUGGUGAAAUGCGUAGAGAUCCGGAGGAACACCAGAGGCGAAAGCGGGGCUCUGGGCUGCACCUGACGCUGAACUGCGAAAGCCAGGGGAGCGAACGGGAUUAGAUACCCCCGUAGUCC
rnacentral:rRNA from 1 species